rnacentral:rRNA from 1 species
GACGUAGGGCGCGAGCGUUGUCCCGGAUUUAUUGGGCGUAAAGAGCUCGUAGGCGGCUUGUCGCGUCGACUGUGAAAUCCCGCGGCUCAACUGCGGGUCUGCAGUCGAUACGGGCAGGCUAGAGUUCGGUAGGGGAGACUGGAAUUCCUGGUGUAGCGGUGAAAUGUGCAGAUAUCAGGAGGAACACCGGUGGCGAAGGCGGGUCUCUGGGCCGAUACUGACGCUGAGGAGCGAAAGCGUGGGGAGCGAACAGG